AUGAACACUAUGUUCAAACAUUGCUGGCUCAAAAAGACUUUGAAAAGGAGCUCACACGAAGACGCUACUCCGAUGCUUAUAAAAUUUAUAAAGGAAAUAGAUAAUAUUUACUACGAAACUGAAUACAGAAGAGAAUGGUGUACAAGCAAGGGUAAACCAUCAACUUGCUUCCUUUUCGCAAGAAAGUUUACUAGGACUGCUGCUUUGAGGCUUCUUAACAUGUCUGUACUUGGAGAUUUCAGUUAA